UCGAGCGGUAGAGAGAAGCUUGCUUCUCUUGAGAGCGGCGGACGGGUGAGUAAUGCCUAGGAAUCUGCCUGGUAGUGGGGGAUAACGCUCGGAAACGGACGCUAAUACCGCAUACGUCCUACGGGAGAAAGCAGGGGACCUUCGGGCCUUGCGCUAUCAGAUGAGCCUAGGUCGGAUUAGCUAGUUGGUGAGGUAAUGGCUCACCAAGGCGACGAUCCGUAACUGGUCUGAGAGGAUGAUCAGUCACACUGGAACUGAGACACGGUCCAGACUCCUACGGGAGGCAGCAGUGGGGAAUAUUGGACAAUGGGCGAAAGCCUGAUCCAGCCAUGCCGCGUGUGUGAAGAAGGUCUUCGGAUUGUAAAGCACUUUAAGUUGGGAGGAAGGGCAGUAAAUUAAUACUUUGCUGUUUUGACGUUACCGACAGAAUAAGCACCGGCUAACUCUGUGCCAGCAGCCGCGGUAAUACAGAGGGUGCAAGCGUUAAUCGGAAUUACUGGGCGUAAAGCGCGCGUAGGUGGUUCGUUAAGUUGGAUGUGAAAUCCCCGGGCUCAACCUGGGAACUGCAUUCAAAACUGUCGAGCUAGAGUAUGGUAGAGGGUGGUGGAAUUUCCUGUGUAGCGG
rnacentral:rRNA from 1 species